rnacentral:rRNA from 1 species
GAUGAACGCUGGCGGCGUGCCUAAUACAUGCAAGUCGAGCGAACGGACGAGAAGCUUGCUUCUCUGAUGUUAGCGGCGGACGGGUGAGUAACACGUGGAUAACCUACCUAUAAGACUGGGAUAACUUCGGGAAACCGGAGCUAAUACCGGAUGAUAUUUUGAACCGCAUGGUUCAAAAGUGAUAGACGGUCUUGCUGUCACUUAUAGAUGGAUCCGCGCUGCAUUAGCUAGUUGGUAAGGUAACGGCUUACCAAGGCAACGAUGCAUAGCCGACCUGAGAGGGUGAUCGGCCACACUGGAACUGAGACACGGUCCAGACUCCUACGGGAGACAGCAGUAGGGAAUCUUCCGCAAUGGGCGAAAGCCUGACGGAGCAACGCCGCGUGAGUGAUGAAGGUCUUCGGAUCGUAAAACUCUGUUAUUAGGGAAGAACAUAUGUGUAAGUAACUGUGCACAUCUUGACGGUACCUAAUCAGAAAGCCACGGCUAACUACGUGCCAGCAGCCGCGGUAAUACGUAGGUGGCAAGCGUUAUCCGGAAUUAUUGGGCGUAAAGCGCGCGUAUGCGGUUUUUUAGUCUGAUGUGAAAGCCCACGGCUCAACCGUGGAGGGUCAUUGGAAACUGGAAAACUUGAGUGCAGAAGAGGAAAGUGGAAUUCCAUGUGUAGCGGUGAAAUGCGCAGAGAUAUGGAGGAACACCAGUGGCGAAGGCGACUUUCUGGUCUGUAACUGACGCUGAUGCGCGAAAGCGUGGGGAUCAAACAGGAUUAGAUACCCUGGUAGUCCACGCCGUAAACGAUGAGUGCUAAGUGUUAGGGGGUUUCCGCCCCUUAGUGCUGCAGCUAACGCAUUAAGCACUCCGCCUGGGGAGUACGACCGCAAGGUUGAAACUCAAAGGAAUUGACGGGGACCCGCACAAGCGGUGGAGCAUGUGGUUUAAUUCGAAGCAACGCGAAGAACCUUACCAAAUCUUGACAUCCUUUGACAACUCUAGAGAUAGAGCCUUCCCCUUCGGGGGACAAAGUGACAGGUGGUGCAUGGUUGUCGUCAGCUCGUGUCGUGAGAUGUUGGGUUAAGUCCCGCAACGAGCGCAACCCUUAAGCUUAGUUGCCAUCAUUAAGUUGGGCACUCUAAGUUGACUGCCGGUGACAAACCGGAGGAAGGUGGGGAUGACGUCAAAUCAUCAUGCCCCUUAUGAUUUGGGCUACACACGUGCUACAAUGGACAAUACAAAGGGCAGCGAAACCGCGAGGUCAAGCAAAUCCCAUAAAGUUGUUCUCAGUUCGGAUUGUAGUCUGCAACUCGACUACAUGAAGCUGGAAUCGCUAGUAAUCGUAGAUCAGCAUGCUACGGUGAAUACGUUCCCGGGUCU